CACGUAGUGCGCAAGCGUUGUCCGGAAUUAUUGGGCGUAAAGAGCUCGUAGGCGGUCUGUUACGUCUGCUGUGAAAACCCAGGGCUUAACCCUGGGCUUGCAGUGGAUACGGGCAGACUAGAGGCAGGUAGGGGAGAAUGGAAUUCCCGGUGUAGCGGUGAAAUGCGCAGAUAUCGGGAGGAACACCGGUGGCGAAGGCGGUUCUCUGGGCCUGACCUGACGCUGAGGAGCGAAAGCGUGGGGAGCGAACAGG
rnacentral:rRNA from 1 species